AAAUAAUUUGGCUCUAAUUAACAAAUUGGCUCUACUAACCUAUUAUACAUGAAAACCCCUCUUACACCCGUAAAUAAAAAAUAACUUUAAAUAAGCUAAAAGCCUUAAAUAAACUUAUUUUAUUUCAUAUUUUAUUUUUAAAUAAGUAAAUUACUUUUACGCCUUCAGUAAAUAAAAUUAAUAAUCUUUAAGAAAUUAAGAAUUAGGGAUUAGAAAGAAAUUUGGUAAAACUUGUGCCAGCCACCGCGGUUAGACAAGAAAAUUUAGUCAAUUAACCCCCACCCCCAUGGUACUCACCAACAAAUGAUAAAAAUAAAACUUACAAAGGUCCAAUUUUUACCAGUAAACCUAAACCCCAUUUAUCACCUACACACCCCAUGAAAACUGAGAUAAAAACAAGGAUUAGAUACCCUUCUAUUCUCAGUAAUAAAUCACGUGGCAGGUACUACGAACACAUGUUUAAAACCUAAAGAACUUGGCGGUAUUUUAAUCCAACCAGGGGAACCUGUCCUUUAAAUCGAUAAUCCACGCUCACCUUUCCUUACUUAGCUAUUCAGCCUGUAUAUUGUCGUCGUAUGCUUACACCACUAGGCUUAGUAGGCAAAAAAGAAUCCCUUUGACGUCAGAUCCAAAUGCAGCUUACAGUAAGGCAGUGAUGGGUUACAUAUCAUAUUUAGUAACAGUCAGUUAGCUUAAUUGCUCUCUAUAAGCUGGACUUGGAAGUAAUAAAAUAAAAAUAACUUUUAUAAAUCGUGCCAUCUAAAAUAUGCACACAUCGCCCGUCAUUCUUUUCGAAAGAAAAGACAAGUCGUAACAUAGUAGGCGUAACGGAAGUUGUGCCUUU
rnacentral:ncRNA from 1 species